rnacentral:rRNA from 1 species
CCCUUAGAUGUUCUGGGCCGCACGCGCGCUACACUGAUGCAUUCAACGAGCUUAUAACCUUGGCCGAGAGGCCUGGGCAAUCUUGUAAACGUGCAUCGUGAUAGGGAUAGAUUAUUGUAAUUAUUAAUCUUGAACGAGGAAUUCCUAGUAAACGCAGAUCAUCAAUCUGCAUUGAUUACGUCCCUGCCCUUUGUACACACCGCCCGUCGCACCUACCGAUUGAAUGGUCCGGUGAAGCCUCGGGAUUGUGGUCAGAUUGCUUUAUUGGAGUCUGACUGUGAGAACUUGUCUAAACCUUAUCAUUUAGAGGAAGGUGAANUCGUAACA